rnacentral:rRNA from 1 species
UAGGGAAUCUUCCGCAAUGGACGCAAGUCUGACGGAGCAACGCCGCGUGAGUGAAGAAGGUUUUCGGAUCGUAAAACUCUGUUGUUAGAGAAGAACAAGUGCUAGAGUAACUGUUAGCGCCUUGACGGUAUCUAACCAGAAAGCCACGGCUAACUACGUGCCAGCAGCCGCGGUAAUACGUAGGUGGCAAGCGUUGUCCGGAUUUAUUGGGCGUAAAGCGAGCGCAGGCGGUUCCUUAAGUCUGAUGUGAAAGCCCCCGGCUCAACCGGGGAGGGUCAUUGGAAACUGGGGAACUUGAGUGCAGAAGAGGAGAGUGGAAUUCCAUGUGUAGCGGUGAAAUGCGUAGAUAUAUGGAGGAACACCAGUGGCGAAGGCGACUCUCUGGUCUGUAACUGACGCUGAGGCUCGAAAGCGUGGGUAGCAACCAGGAUUAGAUACCCUGGUAGUCCACGCCGUAAACGAUGAGUGCUAAGUGUUGGAGGGUUUCCGCCCUUCAGUGCUGCAGUUAACGCAUUAAGCACUCCGCCUGGGGAGUACGACCGCAAGGUUG